rnacentral:rRNA from 1 species
GUGCCUGGAGUAGUAAACAGAUAUGGGCUCGAAACUUAAAGAAUUUGGCGGUAUUUAAGUCUGGUUAGAGGAACCUGUGCUGUAAACGAUAAACCACGAAUAUCUUACUUUGUUUUGGGAGUGCAGUACGUAUACCGCCAUUGUUAUCGAUAAUCUUUGAAGGGGUUUAUUGAGGUAGAUUUUGAAUCUAGUAAAUUAGGUCAAGGUGCGGCUUAUAGCAAAGGAGACAUGGGUUACAUUGAUAUUAGUGAGUUCGGAUGAGUCCGGUAAGUCGGAUUUUGUAAGGUGGAUUUAAUAGU